AUGCACGCUGGCGGCGUGCCUCAUACCUGCAAGUCGCGCGCACGGACGAGAAGCUUGCUUCUCUGAUGUUAGCGGCGGACGGGUGAGUAACACGUGGAUAACCUACCUAUAAGACUGGGAUAACUUCGGGAAACCGGAGCUAAUACCGGAUAAUAUUUUGAACCGCAUGGUUCAAAAGUGAAAGACAGUCUUGCUGUCACUUAUAGAUGGAUCCGCGCUGCAUUAGCUAGUUGGUAAGGUAACGGCUUACCAAGGCAACGAUGCAUAGCCGACCUGAGAGGGUGAUCGGCCACACUGGAACUGAGACACGGUCCAGACUCCUACGGGAGGCAGCAGUAGGGAAUCUUCCGCAAUGGGCGAAAGCCUGACGGAGCAACGCCGCGUGAGUGAUGAAGGUCUUCGGAUCGUAAAACUCUGUUAUUAGGGAAGAACAUAUGUGUAAGUAACUGUGCACAUCUUGACGGUACCUAAUCAGAAAGCCACGGCUAACUACGUG
rnacentral:rRNA from 1 species